rnacentral:rRNA from 1 species
GACGAACCGUCCGAACGUUAUUCGGAAUCACUGGGCUUAAAGGGUGCGUAGGCGGCGCGGAAAGUUGGGUGUGAAAUCCCUCGGCUCAACCGAGGAACUGCGCCCAAAACUACCGUGCUCGAGGGAGAUAGAGGUGAGCGGAACUUAGGGUGGAGCGGUGAAAUGCGUUGAUAUCCUAAGGAACACCGGUGGCGAAAGCGGCCCACUGGAUCUCUUCUGACGCUGAGGCACGAAAGCUAGGGUAGCGAACGGG